rnacentral:rRNA from 1 species
ACGAACGCUGGCGGCAUGCCUAACACAUGCAAGUCGAACGCUCCGCAAGGGGAGUGGCGGACGGGUGAGUAACGCGUGGGAACCUACCUUUGGGUACGGAAUAACCGUGGGAAACUGCGGCUAAUACCGUAUGACGCCGAGAGGCCAAAGAUUUAUCGCCCGAAGAGGGGCCCGCGUCGGAUUAGCUAGUUGGUGAGGUAACGGCUCACCAAGGCGACGAUCUGUAGCUGGUUUGAGAGGAUGAUCAGCCACACUGGGACUGAGACACGGCCCAGACUCCUACGGGAGGCAGCAGUGGGGAAUAUUGGACAAUGGGCGAAAGCCUGAUCCAGCAAUGCCGCGUGAGUGAAGAAGGCCUUAGGGUUGUAAAGCUCUUUCGUCAGGGAAGAUAAUGACGGUACCUGAAGAAGAAGCCCCGGCUAACUCCGU